rnacentral:rRNA from 1 species
AUUGAACGCUGGCGGCAGGCCUAACACAUGCAAGUCGAGCGAGCGGCGGACGGGUGAGUAAUGUAUGGGAAUCUGCCUGAUGGAGGGGGAUAACUACUGGAAACGGUAGCUAAUACCGCAUACCAUCAGAUGAACCCAUAUGGGAUUAGCUUGUAGGUGGGGUAACGGCUCACCUAGGCGACGAUCCCUAGCGGGUCUGAGAGGAUGACCAGCCACACUGGAACUGAGACACGGUCCAGACUCCUACGGGAGGAAGCAGUGGGGAAUAUUGCACAAUGGGCGCAAGCCGUAUGCAGCCAUGCCGGGUGUAUGAAGAAGGCCUUCGGGUUGUAAAGUACUUUCAGUGGGGAGGCGUUACCGGCAGAAGAAGCACCGGCUAACUCCGUGCCAGCAGCCGCGGUAAUAC